rnacentral:lncRNA from 1 species
CGUUAGCCAACCAAAUCGGAGCAACGCAAGGAGCGAAGAUGCGGUAGUUCGUUUCGUGUAGAAAGAAACGCGGGAAGGAGACUCGGACUCGAACUCUCAAUCAGCAGUCCAUAGGAACAACUGACAUUGCCUCUAUUACUGCCUCAUCCCCUACUCCAAUAGAUGCUACUCGUUAUGCAGAUGUAGUCAAUACCACUCAUGCCUCGAAAGCCUUUGGUGCCUGCACUCGGAAUAGCAUAUUCACUUGUU